CUGUACUUAUCAACAUAUCAAGCAUGAGUCGAAUUUUCUUGUUUAUGCUCAUUGCUAGUGUUUUUUUUAUCACUGAAAUUGUUAGUGCCGACGAAUGCCCUUGCAGAGCUACAUGUCUAGAUAAUGAAGUGUUAGGGGAACAGUGCGCUCAAGGCAGUACAUUCCUUCCUGACAAAUAUUUCUGUUGCCCAGCGUAACAGAAAUAUUCUUUAUAUAGCUGCCUACAUAUUUUACAAAAGUUUUCGGAUGUCAGAAACAAUAAAUAAAUAAUAAAUGUGA